rnacentral:lncRNA from 1 species
ACAUGUUGGAUAGGGUGUCUUGUAAAUUAAUGCCACUUGGCAUGGCAGGCCCCACGAGACUUGGCUUUCAGUUUCUUUGGCUGUGAGAAAGAAUUUCUUAAUCAGGAAGGUAAAGGGCAUAGCAGUGGAUCUCAGAAUGAUACUCUGAAGCUGUUUCGCUGUUGCUUCAGCCAGGCACAACCACUUCUUACCAUCUCCCUCAUGACCACCUUGGUUCAAGCCAACAUCUCCGGGCACUGGGUUCCUUUGGCUGCCCCCAGGU